rnacentral:rRNA from 1 species
UACCAGGUCUUGACAUCCCCUGACAACCCAAGAGAUUGGGCGUUCCCCCUUCGGGGGGACAGGGUGACAGGUGGUGCAUGGUUGUCGUCAGCUCGUGUCGUGAGAUGUUGGGUUAAGUCCCGCAACGAGCGCAACCCUCGCCUCUAGUUGCCAGCAUUCAGUUGGGCACUCUAGAGGGACUGCCGGCGACAAGUCGGAGGAAGGUGGGGAUGACGUCAAAUCAUCAUGCCCCUUAUGACCUGGGCUACACACGUGCUACAAUGGGCGGUACAAAGGGCUGCGAACCCGCGAGGGGGAGCGAAUCCCAAAAAGCCGCUCUCAGUUCGGAUUGCAGGCUGCAACUCGCCUGCAUGAAGCCGGAAUCGCUAGUAAUCGCGGAUCAGCAUGCCGCGGUGAAUACGUUCCCGGGCCUUGUACACACCGCCCGUCACACCACGAGAGCUUGCAACACCCGAAGUCGGUGAGGUAACCCGCAAGGGAGCCAGCCGCCGAAGGUGGGGCAAGUGAUUGGGGUGAAGUCGUAACAAGGUAAAUACACU